UCACCCUCUAGAAACAAACCUCUCCCUGGCCUUCAGUAAUCUCCAGGAUUAGUGUUUCCUCCCCAAAUCUCAUUUCCUUCGACAGAACCCCCCGGAUUGCUCAAGCCCUCACAUUAGAGCAGCGGGGACAUUCGUGCCCUGUACUCCCCAGCGCAUGGCUGCGGCCCUCUCAUGGCCUCAGACCUGGGGCGGAAGAAGGGCUAAGGAGCCAGAGGGAGGCAAGAUCCUGUGUUUUCUGGGGAACAUAAAUUAUUUCCGCCGCAGUUACUUCUGCGCCUUCCUAGGUAAUCAAACUGUACACCUGGAUAGAGAAGCCCCGCCUCCCGCAGAUAAGAAUCAGAAUGGAUUUAUUGAAGUGACACAGUCAUAGAGAGAAUGCAGCACAAAGGUGAAUUCCAAGAGCGGGUCAAUUUACACAGAUUUUUUAAAUGAGAAUGUUACUAGCCCCUUUUUUCUCCCACACAGGCCUGCACCAGACUUCUCUUCUAGGACUAAAGCCUCAGUUUUUGUAUCCCCCUUCGGUUCCUCUUCCACAGAUCUUGCCCUGCCUCGUUGCCCAGCUCAGACAAACACCCUGCCUCAUCUUCCCCAUCUCCUCCCCACUGGGAGUUGGGGGCCCUCAAUCUUGGACUUCUCCAGACUUCACCAGACCGCAGAAUGGCCUUAAAUCCUUUCCAGUUUGCUUGUCCUCAGCCACCAGAUAGUCAGUCAGCAGUACUCAUUAAGCUUGUUCUGCGGGCAAAGCAGUGUACUGAGGCCUUAUCAAGAAAAACUGCAGGAACAGAAGUGGUAGACGUGCCCUUUCAGGAUGUGAAUUAGUGUCUGUGGGUCCCCUGGUAAGUGUAAACCGUUAUCCUCAUCAUUGUACAUCCAUUCCUUUAUUUAUCUUCACAAUGACCCCAGAAGUUAAAGCCCCAUUUUCCCUGUUUUCCAGGUGAGUAACCCGAACCUCUCAGAGACUGAGGAAGCUGCCUCAAGUAACAGCUGGUAAGUGACAGUGCAGGACUUCUGACUCCAAGCCCAGGCAUCUGUCACACACCAUGGUUGCCAUAAAGAGAGCCUGUCCUCCUUGGAAAUACAGAGCACCGUGCCCUGAAAUAGACUCGAAGUAUUUUCAGAAUAGCACGUCAAGAAGAGCACACGCACGAUAAACCCUGAGCUUGUGUGUCCUGGUCUGUUUCGUGGAAAAGAAUGGUUCAAGAAGGAAAGGUUCCUAAAGGGGGUAACCAUUAAAACCUAGUUUGAAAGAACAGAGAGCUAUAGAUUGGCAGGCAAGAGAGAAUAAAUUUGGAAUAAGCAUCUUCUCUUGAGGUUACUUAGACAUUCCUACUGUCGUGGAAAGAAUUUUCCACCGUGUCUCCCAGAGUGAGAGGAAUCCGGCUGAAACGUGGCAGGGUGGAUUCAGGUUAAAUAGCACAAAAAAUAUUUCUGGUGAUGAGGUGGUUAAAUACCAAACUAUUUCCCUAAAGGAAGUGGUGAAAUGUAGAUUUUCUUUUCCCUCGGAUGACUUUAGCUUACUCCUGUUGGAAACGGGAGAUGGAAUACAUGAGCUCCGGAAACCUCGUCUGAAAAUGGCAAUUCUGUGGCUAUAAGAUAACUUUAUUAUGCUCACGUAAAAAGAGCUCAGGGCAACCCAUAUAACAACAGACUAUUACUCAACCCCGGACCCUCCCAGAGAGCCACAGCGAAGGGUUUUCUCACCUUUCCUCCCUGUUCCCAUAUCCAACAAGCAUGAACCAGAAAGGGCCUGAGUCACCAGGUCAUGUGACUGAAAGUGCACACGGGGCCUCUCCACACUUGGCACGGCCAGAUGAAACCCAAAUCGCCGUGCCCUGCAAGCUAAGAGCACCAAGCAGUUGCAGGUUUGUCUCAGGAAACAUCCCGGGGCUGCCGUCCAGCCAUUCAAGCUUUUGAGAAACUUCUUACUUAGAAAUGAUUCAUUCCGAGGCACAAUGGCCUGGCCAUAAGACGGGUUCAGUUGGCCACGUUGUUCACAUUGGGGGUCUGCUGGACACUGCAGCUCCAGGAUUGCUGAGGGGAGGCCUCAGCGCCACUCCCUGCUGUAGACGCCAAUCACUGUUCUCCACAGAAGAGGAUGUUUGCAAUGGCUCCUCCCCUGCUCUCUGGCUGCUGUUCAGAUAUGUCUGGAAUGCCUAUUCUGCACCAGGCUUUGUGCUAGGAACUAGGUUUUCUCCCAUCCGUCUUUCAGAAUCAUACGUUUUAUAAUGUAGAAAUGUAUGGUCACUUUCAAUCAGGUUGCUAAAUUUAAAUUUUCGAAUACGUAUUCCCUGAAAGUGAUUAUCACAUCAAGGGCUGUGUUUUUCAAUCUGGUGAUUUGAUUUCUCCACCACCUGCCAGAAAGGGCCGUUUCUCCUAAGGGAGCUUCAGAACUUCCUCCGCAUCGCUUCCACGCUGUCUCCUUCAAAGAAGAUAAACACAGAAAAUGUUGGGCUGCACUGCAGCAUUCUGUAUUGAAAAACUUCGGUUAAGUUGUUCAAAGAAAACUGUGGAGCUUGGUCAAGAGCUUGGUAUCAUUUUCUUGAGGCUAAUUGCUAAAUAUCACUUUUCUGAUGUCCUUGAAGUCCCUGAAUCAGCUGAGAAAAGAAUUGUCAGUAUUCGUAUGACCUAAAUAAUUUUGAAAUCUGCCCUGGAUAUUAGGCCACUGGUACUUAUUACUGUAAGAAACUACACUCUCAGAAAGUGGAAGAGUUCAUUUAAAUAAUGGAGUUGAAAAUAAAGUGAAAAAAGUAAUAGAGGUGGGGAGGGAGGUACUCAGGUAGCAGUUUAGUGAAUACUAACGGCUGACCAAAGGGACUCACACCCAAAUUUACAGAUGCUGAAAUCUAACUCCUUGAACAUCUGCUCAGGAACCCACACAGGCCACCCACAGAAAACAAGAGGAUUUUUUUUUUCUCUCUCCAGGGGUGGGAGUGGAGGACAAAGGAUAAUAGCUUCUUAAUGCAGGAAGCAGAAAAAUAAAAUAGAACAAACACCCGGAUUUGAGGUAGAAUCAGUUAAUGGCAAAUUAUAUUUGAUGUGCAUUCUGAGUAAAAAUGAUGAACAGAUCAAAUGAGAUUAUUUUGGGAGGCUCCUUAUUUGUUUGUAUUCUGCCCUUCUCUGUGUAGGGCUUGAGGAGACUGCAAGACACUGAAAAUGUUAACAUCCUAUAUAAAUGAAUGUAUGGGAGGCAAGAAAAAAAAGAAAGAAAGGGGGAGAAUGGAAGGAGAGAGAGAAAUUUCAGUUAAGUGUAUUUCAUUUGUACAAUAGGUUUCCUGGAGGGGGAAAAAAACAAGACAAAAUAUUGCUUAUCAUUUGGUUAAAUUCAAAAAACGUUUGAGUACGUGCUCUGUGCUAACUUGUGCUUGCUAGAUGCUAAGGAGUGUCACAAGAUGACCAGGGUGAUCAGAUCUCUGCAUAAGGCAAAACUGUGUGCUCCCUCCCGCCACCACACACCCACGGAGGUCAGUGCAGUUUUUGCCCCAUCCCAAGCAGGAAUCCACACUAGGAUGGAGCCCAAACCAGUGCCAUGCCUCCUCUGAGCACGUCCAAUCUGGAGGAGCCUCAGAAGAUAGGAAUGAUUCCAGAAUUUAUCUGGGGUUUGCAGAGCUGACCUUAACCUUGAGUUAUUGUCAACUCGUCUAUACGUGGUCUCUGGCCACUCCCAGGAUCGCUCAGUCUUCUCAUUAACUUCUAAACUAGCUGGAUGGGAGCUCCUGGGUAAUGCCCCGACCCUGAACAGAGUGUGUAGGGAGAAUGGCUUCCACAGCCUGUAUAAAGCGUUAUUUAUGUGUAAUGGGUUACUUCAGUAGGUCACUCUCUUCCCCCAAGAAAGAGCAGAGGUGCUGUAAGUUAAGAGAACCCCUCCUAUCUGGGAUGCGGUCAGCAGAAGGCCUGGAGAGCUGCGUUUGGGAGUCAGUUACUAGCUGUGCCCUACUAAACCAAUUGCUCGAUCUUUCAUGUUUCCUUUCUCUCAGCCUUCGAAUGAAAGUAAUAUUACCUAUGUCACAGGGUCACACUGAUGAUUAAAUGAAAUAAGAUACCUGAACAUUCUGGAAAUGUCUAACACAGAUGUUAAUAUUUAUAAAAUUAUGACAGAGUUUUCUGGAUAGGUGAGAAAACAGAUUUCUUUGACAUUCGAGGGAGUAAACAUGAGAGACUAGACUCCUAAGAGAGCUGCUGAAGAUACAGGACUGGACUCAGAAAGUUGAAAGGAAACAUCCAGGUCAUGAUAGUAACUACCCAAAUCAUCAGAUUCUGCUCUGGUGAACGUGGGGUUAGAUUUUAUCAUCGUAUGGAGCCUAAAGUCCAUGUGUUGUCUGUGAUAGAAUCAUAACCCAAGAACAGCAGAAGGCAGCCUGAAAUCCACCACCGUCAAGGGCUUUAGAGGCCAGGGAGCGCUGUGUUCCAGAAGCCGUAAACACGGGAGGAGGCAGGGAGGGAACGGGCCACUUACAGCCAUCUGGCUACGGUCCUACCACACCCUCAUCUCCAUCCUGUCUGAACCCGCCCUCCUGGGGCCAGCCUGAAGCUGGACCAGAUUCCAGAUAAGCGCCGUUCCCUGGCCAAUCACCCGAGGACACUCAGUGUUUCUUCUUGGGUCCCAGUCCUAGGUUCUUUUCCCCUUCUCGUUGCAAAUUUUGCAAUUUUCUCUGUUGCAUCUUUUCAGCCCACGUAAUAAAGCUGUGAGGAGACAAAUGCUGAGUUGACAAGCAGGGCAACAGAAUUGAGCUAAAAUGGUCCUUUGGCUCUCACUCCUGGUAAUCCUAGAACUGCCAGCUUCUCCCUUUUAUCUGUUUCCUCCUGGCAACUAAAUGCCAACGAGGAACAUAGUCUCAAAAACGUGCCUCUAUUUUACAGACAGUUGUAGAAUCCAAGACACUGUAAGAAUUUUGAGCAAUUAAAGCAGGAACCAUGAAUAAGUAAACUUUAAUUAGCUUUGGACAACAAAUCCAAGUCAAUGAUAAAAUAAUACCCAAUAUUUAUACAGUAGGCUAAAGUUUACAGUGUUUCAGACCCGUUACCUCAUUUGAUGAUGAGAGCUACGCUGUGAGGCAGAUAUUUGUGGUAGGCAGCCUCCAAGAUGAUACCAAAUAAUUCUCACCUCUGGUAUUCAUGCCCCUCUGUGGCCACCCCCACACCAAAUAGUGCUGACCUGGACAGCCAAUAGAAUAUUACCAAAAAGAUGGAUGUGACCUCCAAGUCAGGUCAUAAAGACAUUGCAGCUUCGUCUUAUUCCCUCUUGGGUCACUCUCUCUGGGAGAAGUCAGCUGCCAUCACAUGAGAGCACUCAGCAGCUGUGAUGGUAAAUUUUGUAUUGUCAACUUGACUUGGCUAAGGAAUGCCCAGAUAACUGGUAAAACAUUAUUUCUGGGUGUGUCUGUAAGAGUGUCUCUGGAAGAGAUUAGCACUCGAAUAAUUAGGCUGAGUAAAGAGAUCACCCUCCCCAGUGCAGUUAGGCAUCAUCCAAUCCAUUGAGGGCCCCAAUAGAACAAAGAAGAUAGAGGAAAGGCGAAUUUGCUCUCUCUGCUUGAGCUGAGCCAUCCAUCUUCUCCUAUCCUUGGACACUGGCACUCCUGCUUUUCAGGCUUUCAGGCUCAGACUGAGAUUUACACCCAAGGUGCCCCCGAUUCUCAGGCCUUUGGACUCUGACUAAAUUACACCACCAACUUUCCUGGGUCUCCAGCUUGCAGACAGCAGAUCAUGGGACUUCUCAACCGCCAUAACUGCAUAAGCCAAUUCUUAUAAUAGAUAGGUAGAUCGAUAGAUAUCCUAUUGGUUCUGUUUCUCUGAAGAACAUUGACUAAUACAGCAGCCCAGUGGAGAAGUUCACAUUUUGAGGAAGAAAGGCCUCCUGACAACAGCCAGGAGCAACUUGAAAGUGAAUCCUCCAGUCCCCAUGAAGAAUUCAGAUCAUUAUAGCUCCUCCCAAAAUCUGUUUUUCAAUUAACGGCUUUAUUGAAAUAUAAUUCAUACACUCUACAGUUCUCCGGCUAAAAGUGUACAUUUCAGUGGUUUUUCGCAUGUUACAUAUAUGUGUAGCCAUCACCACAGUCAAUUUUAAAACAUUUUAAUCAUCUCAAGAAGAAAUCCCACACCUUUUAGCUGUCAGCCUCCCUAUACUCCCCAGCCUUAAGCAAAUACUAAUCUACUUUCCUUUUUCUAUAGACUUGCCUCUUCUGGACAUUUUAUAUAAAUGGAACCAUACAGUAUGUGGUCUGUUGUGACUGGCUUGCUGUACUUAGCAUGCUUUCAAGGUUCAUCUAUGUUGUAGCGUGGAUCAGGACUGUAUUCAUUUUUAUGGAAAAACAAUA